ACCAAAUGGGCUUGUUGACUGCUUACAUACCCUCAUAGAAGGGUGGAGAGAACAAGAUUCGCAUCUAAGUACAUGGCUGUUCCUCUACCACUUGUUGGAUGCAACUCUGCCAUAAUUACACAUGGCUUCAGGAAGAAGCUAAACCAGAAGUGGAAACAAGAUGAAUAAACCACCACAGAAAAAAUGAAACUGCUACAUGUGAUUUGACAAAAAACAGUGGAUAUAUUUCAUAAUUCAUCAGACAGUGUACACACAGCCAGUAGAUUUCUGACCCAAGAUCAAUAUGUAGGACUCUCAGCUCUUUCUCCAGCACUAUGUCUGCCUCGUGCUGCCAGGUCCUGCCAUGAGGAUAAUGGAAAAAACCUCUGAAACUGUGUUACAUCUGAGAAGUGGUGAAAAAUGAGAUCUGAAGGAGGUGAAACAGCCAGGAUGCACUUCAGUUGGGUGAAAUGGAAGUAACUAGGACAGUUUUUUUCUGGAGGAUGGGCUGGGUGAAGUGUAAAGUGUAAACAAUUGUUG
rnacentral:lncRNA from 1 species